rnacentral:lncRNA from 10 species
GCCGACUUUAUUAAUUGAGGGGAAUGUAAUGCACCUGAUUUCUUCUAACCACACAGGUAAAUGGAGGGAAACCAUCCCAGAGCAAGCACUAAAGCAGCAAGGAAGAAGUAGCACAGAUUGGCGUUCUCCUCUGUAUGGAUGGAGACAGUGAGUACAAAGGCAGGCUCAGAGUGGAGAAGAGUCUUGUCUGAAGUCACCAAGUGCGUAAGCGGCAAUCACAGAACCAGAAACCAGGACUCCUCCUGCUCAUCAUGCCACCUUGUAGCUUCCUGGAGCUCCAAAUGCCUGGGUGAGGGAGAGAUACUUAUUCUUAAUCCAUUCAUGUUGUCUUCAGUACGUGGACCCAGGGUGCAAAGCAGAGUCAGGUAUUUUUUGACUUUUAAUGUGGCAAGUUUUCAGUUUUGA